GAUGAACGCUGGCGGCGUGCUUAACACAUGCAAGUCGAACGGAAAGGCCCAAGCUUUCUUGGUUUCUCGAGUGGCGAACGGGUGAGUAUCACGUGGGUGAACUGCCCUUCACUUCGGGAUAAGCCUUGGAAACUGGGUCUAAUACCGGAUAGGACCACUUCUUGGAUGUUGUUGUGGAAAGUUUUUUCGUUGUGGGAUGAGCUCGCGGCGUAUCAGCUUUUUGGUGGGGUGAUGGUCUGCCAAGGCGUCGGCGGGUAGCCGGCCUGAGAGAGUGUACGGCCACACUGGGUCUGAGGGGAGGCCGAGAUACCUACGGGAGGCAGAAGUGGGGAAUAUUGACGGAUGAGCGCAAGCCGGAUGAAGCGACGCCGCGUAGGGGAUGACGGCCUUAGGGUGGUAGACUAUUUGCGCUAGGGACGAAGCGUAUUGUGACGGUACCUGGAGAAGAAGCACCGGCUAACUACGUG
rnacentral:rRNA from 1 species